rnacentral:rRNA from 1 species
CAGGAUGAACGCUGGCGGUAUGCUUAACACAUGCAAGUCGAACGGGCUCUUCGGAGCUAGUGGCGGACGGGUGAGUAACGCGUGAGAAUCUGGCUUCAGGUUCGGGACAACAGUUGGAAACGGCUGCUAAUACCGGAUGUGCCCUUGGGUGAAAGAUUUAUCACCUGAAGAUGAGCUCGCGUCUGAUUAGCUAGUAGGUGUGGUAAGAGCGCACCUAGGCGACGAUCAGUAGCUGGUCUGAGAGGAUGAUCAGCCACACUGGGACUGAGACACGGCCCAGACUCCUACGGGAGGCAGCAGUGGGGAAUUUUCCGCAAUGGGCGAAAGCCUGACGGAGCAAUACCGCGUGAGGGAGGAAGGCUCUUGGGUUGUAAACCUCUUUUCUCAGGGAAGAAUAAAUGACGGUACCUGAGGAAUAAGCAUCGGCUAACUCCGUGCCAGCAGCCGCGGUAAUACGGAGGAUGCAAGCGUUAUCCGGAAUGAUUGGGCGUAAAGCGUCCGCAGGUGGCAAUGUAAGUCUGCUGUCAAAGCGUCUGGCUCAACCAGAUAAAGGCAGUGGAAACUACAUAGCUAGAGUAAGGUAGGGGUAGAGGGAAUU